UUGAGACUACGUCCUGAAUCUUUUUUUCAGGUUCUACGAAAUUAAAACCAUCUAUGAAGCCAAACGACAGAUUGUACCUGAUGCAAGAAAGGGAAUGAAGUAUCAUUCAAAAAGGUAUCUGAUUGCAAGGGAGUGGUUGAAAACCCAUUCAAAAAGGUUUGGUGAUCAUUUGCCAAACAGUCAAGACAUACACCUCCCACAGUGUGCAACAGUACGAGACAUCUUUGGGUUUUACAAGGCUGACCACUGGGAUGAAAGAACACUUGAAGAAUCCCGAUUUAGACAGAUGUGGAAAAAAGAGUUUCCCAAGCUCAAAAUUCCAGCAAAGAACAGAAUGGCUAAAUGUGAUGAGUGUGAUACUUUGAAGACACUCCUUGCUCGUGCCCAAAGUGAUGAAGACAUACAAGAAGUAAGAGACAGGAGGCAAGCCCAUUUCAGCUUACAGAACUCAGCCAGGCAAAAGUAUUAUAAACACAUAAAGAAAGCGAAGAAAGAACCAAAGAACUACCUGUCCAUCAUCAUUGAUUCCAUGGAUCAAAACAAG